rfam:Aspergillus flavus NRRL3357 scf_1106286419476 genomic scaffold, whole genome shotgun sequence.
GGCGAGAUGGCCGAGCGGUCUAAGGCGGUUAGUACUACUAUUAUCACUUUCUUAUCAAGCAUUCACUAAUAAUCUCUCAGCUGGAGUAAGGUUCCAGUCUCGAAAGGGGCGUGGGUUCAAAUCCCACUCUCGUCA